rnacentral:lncRNA from 1 species
GGUAGUGGUGGUGGUUAUGGUAGUGGUGGUGACAAUAGUCAUAACCAUAGCCAUAGCGUACAACACAAAAACAAUAUCGAAUAUCAACAAAAAAUCGAACAUUUAAAUUCUGUUAUAAGCAAUUAUGAAAAGGAGCUUAACGAAAUGAAUGAACAUAAAGAACAAAUGAUUAAAAGAUCAGAUGAACAAGUUAAUACACUUGAAGAUAUUAAUUUAUUAAAAGAAGAUUUAAUUAGUGCAAACGAAUUGGUUAAUAAUUUGGUAAGUAAAAAUGAAAAAUUAUAUAAUGUAAAUUUAGAACUUCAAGAAGUGAUAAAAGAUAUGAGAAAAGAUAUUGAUAUUUUGUUAACAAAUGUAGAAGAACUAACAGAUGAAAAACAAAAAAAUAGUAAACGAAUUAAAGAGAAUGUCGAUAAAUAUAAUGAAUUAAAAAUAUUAUAUGAGGAAAAAGUAGUUGAAUGUGAUUAUAUUUUCAGUUUAUUAUCAACCAAAAUGAAAAAAAAAAGUGGAGCAACAAAAUAAGACUCGAACAGGACAAAAGCUUCAACAAAAUCAAAAACGUGAAAGUAAUAAACGUAAUGGUCAAAAGAGGUUGUAUUACGACUCGUACGAUGAAUUGAUAACUGAUAACGAUGGUAGUGAUAACGAUGGUGGUGAUAACGAUGGUGGUGAUAACGAUUAUGGUGAUAACUACGGUAACAAUGACGAUAGUAAUAACCAUACUGUGGGUUAUAACGGUUUUACUAAAACUGUUAGUACUCCCGAAUCGGAAUCGAGUAGUGAUGAACGAAUAAAAUUAUCACGUGCAGUAAAUGAAAGAGAUGUAAUGAUCACAAAUUUAAAUUCGAAAUUAGAAUAUUAUGAUAAAGAAAAUAAUAAAAAACAAGAAAUGAUUGAUGCUUAUAAAAACAUGAUGGAUAAUUUAUCAUCGAAAAUGCAUAUAUUUGAAGAUAACUUAGACUUGUUAAUUAAAUUAAACGAAUUUAUUAACGAAAAUGAUUAUUCGUAUGAACAAGUCAUACAAUUAUUAAACGAAUCUGUUUUGUAUAAAAAAAUAAUGAGUAAAAUUUUAUUUGAAAACCAAUUUUAUAAAAAAAUUGUUCAAAUUAAAGUAUAUAUUUUUGAUAUGUUAAAAAAAAGUGUUUCUUUUGAGAAUGAUAAUAUAGAUUUAAGUGAAGUAGAAAAAGAAAAAUUGAAAAAAAUAAGAGAUGAAAAUCAAACGAAACUUAGUAAGUAUUCAUUAUAUAAGAAUGAAAAGGAUAUUUUAUAUCCGUAUCCUAAAAAGGGUAGUAACGAAUUGGAUCAUAAUACUACUAUUGAUUUGUUAAUACAAAAUAUAGAUGAUCAAUUUAAUGAUUUUGAAAAUACAUGUAUAGAAAUUAGUGAUAUGCAUAAAAAUGAAGAAUGGGUUGGUAUUUAUCAGAAAUUAUCUAUUUUGGAUUUAAAUUUUACUAAUGUUAUAAAUAUUGUUAUAAACGAAAUUAAUAAAGCAAAUGAAAAUACAGUUGAAGAAAAAGAAGAAUUAAAAAAAAGUAUAGAACUUUUGAAAAAAAAAAUAUAUCCUUUAUCAAAUGAUUUUUUAAAAAGUAUAGAAGAAAUAGAACAAUUAAAAAAUAAUUUAACUUCAGAAUAUGAAAAAAAUGAAUCUUUAUUAAAUGAUAAUGAAGAGUUAAAAAGAGUUUAUAACAGUUUAAGUGGUGAUUAUGAUGAAUUAAAAAUAGUGUACAAUAGUUUAAGUAAUGAUUUUGAAGAGUUGAAUAGAGUACAUAAUCAUUUGAGUGGUGAUUAUGACGAGUUAAAAAAAGUGAAUGAAAAUUUGAAUAGUGAUUAUGAAGAAUUAAAAAAAGUACACAAUCAUUUGAGUAGGGAUUAUAAUGAAUUAAAAAAAGUACAUAAUAAUUUAAAUGAUGAAUAUAAAGAUAAAUUAGUAAUGAUACAAAGUCAUGAAUAUGAAUUAAAUAUAUUACAAAACAAAUUGUUAGAAAAAACAGAUACGAAAAUAAAAGAAGAACAAUUAAAUGAAUGUCUCAAAAACGAUUUAACAAAUUUAAAUACAUCGUUAAUACAAGCUACUCAAGAUUUAACUGAAUUAAAUAAUGAGAAUAUAAAAAAUAAAUUAACAGUAGAAAAAUUAAAAGAAGAAAAUGUUUACUUAAAACAAGAAAUAGAAGAAAAGAAACAGGUUAUUGCACAUUUAGAAAAUAACAUAGAAUCGAAUAAUAAAUUAAUUUUAGAUUUAAAAGAGUUUAAUGAUUUGUUAAUACAUCAAGCAGAAGAGAAGAGGAAUAAAAAGAUUAUAAGACAAUUGGAUAGUGAUGAAGAAGAUCAUAAGAUGAAAUAUAUUGAUGGUGGUAAUAGUGAUGGUGGUAAUAGUGAUGAUGAUAAUAGUGAUGGUGGUAAUAGUGAUGGUGGUAAUAGUGAUGGUGGUAAUAGUAAUGGUGGUAAUAGUAAUGGUAGUGAUAGUUAUAGUCGUAGUAAAAGUCACCAACGUAGUCGUAAAAAUCAUCAACAUAGUCGUAGUAAUAAGCACAAAAUGAACCAUAUCAGUAGUAAUAGCAAUGUAUAUGGAAGAGAAGCUGUUGUGAAUAAUGGAUUACACGAAGGAAUACAUAAAAACGAAUUAUUAAUUAUUAUUAAUAAAUUAGAAAAUGAUAAUAAUGUUCUUAAAAAAGAAUUAGCUAUUUUUAAAAAUAAUUUUAAUAUAAUAAAAGAGAAAAAAGAGGAAUUAGAAGAAAUGUUAAAUAAUAAAGAUUUAGCUUUAAAUAAAAGUGAAAUCCAAUUAAAUGAUGUUAUUAUUGAAAAAGAAAAAUGUAUUGAAGAAUCAAAUAGAUAUCGUAUAAAAUGUAUACAAAUUAUAGAAAUAUGUUUUAACAAUUAUUUAAACAUAAUAGAAAUUAGGGAACAUAUUUUUGAACUUUUUGAAAAUGAGGAUGAAGAAAUUGUUAAUAUUAUUAAUUGUCACAAAAGAAUGUUAAACGAAAAUGAUGAAAGACAGAGCGUUAAUAGGAGUGUUAGUAGAAGUGUUCGUAGGAGUGUUAAUAAUAAUGGUAAUAGUAACGGUAAUAGUAAUGGUAAUAGUAACGGUAAUAGUAACGGU